rnacentral:rRNA from 1 species
GGCUUAAUGAUAUUAAUUUUAAGUCGAUCUGCCCAAUGAUUUAAUUAUUUAAUGGCUGCAGUAUAAUUGACUGUACAAAGGUAGCAUAAUCAAUUGUUUUUUAAUUAAAAACUGGAAUGAAAGAAUUAAUGAGAUAUAUACUGUCUCAUAUAUAUAUUAUUAAUUUAAAUUUUUAGUAAAAAUGCUAAAAUAAAUUUAUGGGACGAUAAGACCCUAUAGAAUUUUAUAUUUAUAUUUAGAUUAUUAUUUAUUUUAAAUAUUAAUAUUUAAUUGGGAGGAUUAGUAAAUUUAUAAAACUUUAUUUUAAAUUUAAACUUUAAUUUAAGAAUUAUUAAUGAUCUUGUAUUAUGAAUUUAAAGAAUAAAUUACCUUAGGGAUAACAGCGUAAUAUCUUUUUAAAGAUCAAAUUGAUAAAGAUGAUUGCGACCUCGAUGUUGAAUUAAGAUAAAUUUUAAAUGAAGAAGUUUAAUAAUUAAGUCUGUUCGACUUUUAAAAUCUU